rnacentral:rRNA from 1 species
UACAGAGGGUGCGAGCGUUGUUCGGAAUUAUUGGGCGUAAAGGGCGCGUAGGCGGUGCGGUAAGUCACCUGUGAAAUCUCCUGGCUCAACUGGGAGCUUGCAGGCGAAACUGCCGUGCUGGAGUGUGGGAGAGGUGCGUGGAAUUCCUGGUGUAGCGGUGAAAUGCGUAGAUAUCAGGAGGAACACCUGUGGCGAAGGCGGUGGCCUGGGCCGGAACUGACGCUGAGGAGCGAAAGCGUGGGGAGCGAACAGG